CUACGGGUUGCUGCAGUGGGGAAUAUUGGGCAAUGGGCGCAAGCCUGACCCAGCAACGCCGCGUGAGGGAAGAAUGUCUUCGGAUUGUAAACCUCUGUCCUUGGGGACGAAAAAAAUGACGGUACCCAAGGAGGAAGCUCCGGCUAACUACGUGCCAGCAGCCGCGGUAAUACGUAGGGAGCAAGCGUUGUCCGGAAUUAUUGGGCGUAAAGGGUGCGUAGGCGGCGCUGUAAAUCAGAUGUGAAAUCCCCGGGCUUAACUCGGGAGUUGCAUUUGAAACUACAGUGCUUGAGUAAAGAAGGGGUAAGUGGAAUUCCUAGUGUAGCGGUGGAAUGCGUAGAUAUUAGGAGGAACACCAGUGGCGAAGGCGACUUACUGGUCUUUUACUGACGCUGAGGCACGAAAGCGUGGGGAGCAAACAGGAUUAGAUACCCGCGUAGUC
rnacentral:rRNA from 1 species